GGGAUCUUGUUGAAAUGCAGAUGCUGAUUCAGCAGGCUUGGGAGUGAGGCUCAAGAUUCUGCAUUUCUAACAAGCUC
rnacentral:miRNA from 1 species